UACCAGCACCCCGCGUGGUCGGGACUAUGAUUGGGCCUAAAGCAUCCGUAGCCGGUUCUACAAGUCUUCCGUUAAAUCCACCUGCUUAACAGAUGGGCUGCGGAGGAUACUAUAGAGCUAGGAGGCGGGAGAGGCAAGCGGUACUUAGUGGGUAGGGGUAAAAUCCGUUGAUCCAUUGAAGACCACCAGUGGCGAAGGCGGCUUGCCAGAACGCACUCGACGGUGAGGGAUGAAAGCUGGGGGAGCAAACCGG
rnacentral:rRNA from 1 species